rnacentral:rRNA from 1 species
GAUGAACGCUAGCGGCAGGCCUAACACAUGCAAGUCGAGGGGCAGCACAUAAAGUGGUUUACUACUUUUGGUGGCGACCGGCGGACGGGUGCGUAACGCGUAUGCAACCUGCCUCCCACAGGGGGAUAACGGAGAGAAAUUUCCACUAAUACACCAUAAUAUCAGAAUCGGCCUCGGUUUUGGUUGAAAAAUCCUGUGGUUGGAGAUGGGCAGGCGUUGUAUUAGAUAGUUGGUGAGGUAACGGCUCACCAAGUCAACGAUACAUAGGGGGACUGAGAGGUUAGCCCCCCACACUGGUACUGAGACACGGACCAGACUCCUACGGGAGGCAGCAGUGAGGAAUAUUGGUCAAUGGGGGCAACCCUGAACCAGCCACGCCGCGUGCAGGAAGACGGCUCUAUGAGUUGUAAACUGCUUUUACAAGGGGAUAAAUCGGUGUACGUGUACACCGUUGAAGGUACCUUGGGAAUAAGGAUCGGCUAACUCCGUGCCAGCCGCCGCCGUAA